rnacentral:rRNA from 1 species
UAGGGAAUUUUCCACAAUGGACGAAAGUCUGAUGGAGCAACGCCGCGUGCAGGAUGAAUGCCUUCGGGUUGUAAACUGCUUUUGUUUGUGACGAUUAUGACGGUAGCAGACGAAUAAGGAUCGGCUAACUCCGUGCCAGCAGCCGCGGUCAUACGGAGGAUCCAAGCGUUAUCCGGAAUUACUGGGCGUAAAGAGUUGCGUAGGUGGCAUGGUAAGUUGGUAGUGAAAGCGUUCGGCUCAACCGAAUACACAUUAUCAAAACUGCCAAGCUAGAGGACGAGAGAGGUAACUGGAAUUCCAAGUGUAGGAGUGAAAUCCGUAGAUAUUUGGAGGAACACCGAUGGCGUAGGCAGGUUACUGGCUCGUUCCUGACACUCAGGCACGAAAGCGUGGGGAGCAAACGGGAUUAGAUACCCCCGUAGUCC